CAGAUCUGAAGGAGAAAAGAUAUAUGAAGCAAACAUAAAACUAGUGUUGUCACGGUACCAAAAUUUCAGUAGUCGGUACCAAUACCAGUAAAAUUCCACGGUUCUCGGUACCAAUUUCGGUACCAAACCAAAACACCAGUACAUGCUAAUUGAAACAAUUUUAUUAAUAAAGCUCAUUGUUAAUAUAAAUGUAUAGAAAGCAAUGCCAUUUUGUAUACAUGUAGUAUAAGUUAAUUGUUGCUGAAACUGUUGUGUGUGCUCUGCUGAUGCUGAUGAACAUCCUCCUCAGUCUGCUGCUGUAUAAGACGAAUAGAAUAAACUUCAAUAAGUCAACUGACUGAACAAACAUGCAUAUGCAAUAUUAAAACAAACCUCAGUUUUUAUACUGCAUUUACACAAGAUUACUUACAUUAAGGUAACUGUAUAUUAAAAUAAUAAAUGCAACAGAUAUAUUUUUCUUUAGUUUAAAUGUGGCUUUUUAAACCUAAUAAAGUUAUCUAUCCAAGACAUACACAUUUGCUAGUCAUACAGUUAGUAUGAUAGUUUUCUAGCACAUAGAUUUCAGAUAGGCCUAUAUAAAAUAGGUACUGUAAAACCCACCCUGUCCUCCCAUUUAUUUUACCCCAUUACAGUUAUAAAAGCAUUAAAUGGUUAAUAAGGACACUUGACUGGAUUAGCAUUGGCGCUAACAAAUUAACACGCAAACAGGGACGUUUAUUUUAACGUAACCUUUAAAUUUAACAUAUGAUACAACAUUCAUAAUGCAAACGCGAACAGAAUUUGAAACUUGCUUGAACUUGUAAACUUAAAUCCGGAUGCUUCCUUGUUUCACCACAAAACUCUGUUCGUUUUCUUCGUGAUAUGACUUUAAUCUGAAGUAUUUCUGUGCGUGUCUCUUGUGGAUCGGAGCCGCGCUUAUCCGCUCAUCACGUCUUAUUGCGUCUAUAAAAAGUUUCCGACUGACAACCUGUCAGACAAAGCAUCAGUACCCGGUUGACCUGGUACGUCGGUGGUACCGGGUCUUAUGAAAAUAGGUACCGACAACUUUUUUAUUUUUAGGUACCGACUUGGACCCGAAGUACCGGUACUUUUGACAACACUACAUAAAACUGUGUGUGCUUGAUUUAAGCAGCCUGAAAUGCAAGAUUAGCAGCAUCAGAUUUUAAACCUUUAUCCUGCUUAGAAACAUGCAUCUGUCUCCUCCGCCACAGACCAUUUUUUUCUUCACCUAAAUGAAGAAAACUGUAUAAAAACAUUUACAUUUUACGCCGCAAAAAGGAUCAGUAAUUUAUAUCUACAUUGUCUACAGGUGAAAUAGAAGCCUUUCCCAUCAUCAGACUACAUUUGUAAACCCGAAUGUUCAAAGAAAUUAAACCGUUUAAGUAGUGUAAACUUAAUUUUAUAUAAAAAAAUUCCUAACUUAAAUGUUUUGAGUUCCUGUAACUAAUUCUUACUUUUGAGUUAGUUUAACUUAAUUUCAACAAGUUAAUUCAAGACGAUUUGUUGAGAAUGAAAUUCAGUUCCCAGCAUGCUUUGAGUGAGACUGCAUUAGGAAAGUAAAUUUUGAAAUGAAAUGUUAUUUUAUGAGUUUUUAGAAAGGAAAAAGCCUUGUUAAUGAUGAAUGUUCAUUUAUCUUGGAUAUUUAGAAGAGUUUGUUGUAUUUUUGACUUUUGGGGUUACCAUCGUUCAGAAGAGUGGUGCUUAUGCUUAGGUUGUGGGAGGUGCAAUAGCAGUCGUGUGUGUUGCAUCACUCUCUGUGAAGGCUGUUUGUUAAUUUACUUACUAGUUUUGCUUACUUAAAAUUGGGUACAGUCAUUUUAUUUGUCUGUACACUCUAAAAAAUGCUGGGUUGAGCCUGUUGGGUCAUUUUGUUGGGUUAUUUUCUGAGUGUUAUUUUCCAAUCGUUGGGUUACCGGUUGGGUCCAAUUGAGUGACAGUUCAGAGAGUAAACCCCUCCCCCUCCUCGACGCCUCAGACAAAUUCUACCUUCGCGGGCAUUUUGAAUCACCUCAGGAACAAGCGAAGACAGCUGUUAUUCAGAGAAAAAAGGGUGCAGAAUAACAGCUAAUAAUAAUGGAUAAUUCUGUUCAGGAGAAAGAGGAAUGGAACUUCGAUGUCCUGAUACCAAGCUUAAAGAUGAACAAAUUGAUAAAGAAACCCCACUGCUGGACAUCCACUUCCCGAAGUGCACACCACACUGUUGUCUACUAACUCCCAGGAAAAGAUGGAUCCUCUUCAGUAAGACUGCUCCGUGGAUAUGUCAGGUCAAGCAGUACUGGAACCAAAACAACUAACGCUCUUUAAACUGUUUUGUGAGUUCAUAUGAAGAGGAAAAUUCUCGGACAUUCCUUGCAAAUGUCAACAAAUACCAUGAGAAAAUAACGUUUUUACCAAAGGUUUUUACUGUAAUAGCUGCACCGAUAUCAACAUUUUGGUGGUUCAAAUACCCAUGUGAGGUCUCUCUUCAAGUUAAGGUAUUGUUUGUACAUUUUAAUUCACAGAAAUCCUACAAAGUUUGUCACCUCCCAAAAACGGUGUCCUUUUUUCACAUCCUAACGCGUGUUUAUUUCCCAUUUUUUAAAUAGAAAACUUGUGCGUAGACUGAUAUUUUAUCAUACUGUAUAAGUGCAGUUCUACCAACAAGGGUUAAGUAAAAUAUAAACAAAUGGUUCAGUAUAUUGGUAACAAAUACAUUCUCUGAGUGUUUUUAUGUCACAUCCAUAACGCAAUGUAUAAAUAAAAAUGUUUAUGUUAAAAUCUAAACUUAUGUAAUUUAUUUAUUGACGUUGUUUAUUUUUUUGAUGUUAUUCGGUUUUAUUGUUCAUUGAGCAUUAAAAUAUUGCAUGCUUUUUAUGA